GAUGAACGCUAGCGGGAGGCCUAACACAUGCGAGUCGAACGCGAAAGUCCUUCGGGAUGAGUAGAGUGGCGGACGGGUGAGUAACGCGUAGGAACGUGCCCUUUGCUACGGAAUAGCCCCGGGAAACUGGGAGUAAUACCGUAUGUGCCCUUCGGGGGAAAGAUUUAUCGGCAAAGGAUCGGCCCGCGUUGGAUUAGGUAGUUGGUGGGGUAAUGGCCUACCAAGCCGACGAUCCAUAGCUGGUUUGAGAGGAUGAUCAGCCACACUGGGACUGAGACACGGCCCAGACUCCUACGGGAGGCAGCAGUGGGGAAUCUUAGACAAUGGGCGCAAGCCUGAUCUAGCCAUGCCGCGUGGGUGAUGAAGGCCUUAGGGUCGUAAAGCCCUUUCGCCGGGGAAGAUAAUGACGGUACCCGGUAAAGAAACCCCGGCUAACUCCGUGCCAGCCGCCGCUGUAAUAC
rnacentral:rRNA from 1 species